rnacentral:rRNA from 1 species
UACGUAGGUGGCAAGCGUUGUCCGGAAUUAUUGGGCGUAAAGCGCGCGCAGGCGGUCCUUUAAGUCUGAUGUGAAAGCCCACGGCUCAACCGUGGAGGGUCAUUGGAAACUGGAGGACUUGAGUACAGAAGAGGAAAGCGGAAUUCCACGUGUAGCGGUGAAAUGCGUAGAGAUGUGGAGGAACACCAGUGGCGAAGGCGGCUUUCUGGUCUGUAACUGACGCUGAGGCGCGAAAGCGUGGGUAGCGAACAGG